rnacentral:rRNA from 1 species
UAAAGGGCAUUUGGUGGAUGCCUUGGCGCGCAGAGGCGAUGAAGGACGUGGCACGCUGCGAAAAGCCUCGGGGAGCCGCGAGCAGGCUUUGAUCCGGGGAUCUCCGAAUGGGGCAACCCCCACCUUCGGGUGGAUCACUCUCUGAAUUCAUAGGGGAGUGAGGCGAACCCGGCGAACUGAAACAUCUCAGUAGCCGGAGGAAAGGACAUCAACCGAGACUCCGUGAGUAGUGGCGAGCGAAAGCGGACCAGGCCAGUGGCUGCGAGACGAGAACCGGAACCGGCUGGAAAGCCGGACCAGAGCGGGUGACAGUCCCGUACGGGUAGAGCGUCUUGUGGUCCUUGAGUAAGGCGGGACACGUGAAAUCCUGUCUGAACAUGGGGGGACCACCCUCCAAGCCUAAGUACUCCUGCGCGACCGAUAGCGAACAAGUACCGUGAGGGAAAGGUGAAAAGUACCCCGGGAGGGGAGUGAAAUAGUACCUGAAACCGUGUGCCUACAAGCCGUGAGAGCCUUAUGCCGCUUCGGUG